rnacentral:rRNA from 1 species
CCUACGUGGGGCAGCAGUGGGGAAUAUUGGACAAUGGGGGCAACCCUGAUCCAGCCAUGCCGCGUGUGUGAAGAAGGCCCUCGGGUGGUAAAGCACUUUCAGUGAGGAAGAACGCCUGGUGGUUAAUACCCAUCAGGAAAGACAUCACUCACAGAAGAAGCACCGGCUAACUCCGUGCCAGCAGCCGCGGUAAGACGGAGGGUGCGAGCGUUAAUCGGAAUUACUGGGCGUAAAGCGCGCGUAGGUGGCUUGAUAAGCCGGUUGUGAAAGCCCCGGGCUCAACCUGGGAACGGCAUCCGGAACUGUCAAGCUAGAGUGCAGGAGAGGAAGGUAGAAUUCCCGGUGUAGCGGUGAAAUGCGUAGAGAUCGGGAGGAAUACCAGUGGCGAAGGCGGCCUUCUGGACUGACACUGACACUGAGGUGCGAAAGCGUGGGUAGCAAACAGGAUUAGAUACCCCAGUAGUC